ensembl:lncRNA
AGUUAAUCUAUUGGAGCUGAAUUACAUUGCCUUUUAUUUUCUUAAGUGUAAAAAGUACUUUACAUAUUAAAUUUAGAGUAAACAUCCUGUCUGAUGUUGCGUAUGAACAGAUCUGUUUCCUUGAUCCUGUUUCAUUCUGACCCUCUGCUAAGCAUCUGAUCCAUGCAAUCUGCAUUCAACUAUGGAACCAAAGACAGCAGCACUGUCCAGCCCCUGUCCUUGUCAUCAACGUUUGCCAGAGGAAUUGAAUGAACUAAAUACAGAGUUUUGUGAUGAAAGUGUAACAUACUCCGAACUCAAACUUCGUGAUUCUUCAAAUAUUCAGAAGAGAAAACUAACUAGGAUUUGGAAAGCAAAAGGUAAAAAAUGUAAAACUCUAGACUCCUUUUUUUGCCUUCAUAUUUUAAUGAGAAGUCAUGAAAAUAAAAGGACUAAUCUUUCAAAUGGAAAUCAUCCCUCAUACACUUUUAAGCAGGUCAUAAGGACCCAAAGUCUAGUGUUUAGAGCAAAUGGAAAUGAACAAUGAACAACUGAUCAUUUUGCUCUGAAUAAUCAACCAUGGCUUAAAAUGAUGUACCAUGCCAUAGAAUGAAGAAUGUUUCUAGAUAUUUUGGGGGUUGAUAUUUUAGCUUUGCAAAAGGUAAGUGCUCCUUUUAUGCUACAAUAUUUCUAAAAAUGAAAUGGACUGUGGGAGGUAUAUCAUAGUAGCCAGAUUUUAUCAAAACUAUCACAGAGUAUCUGUCAAGGUCAACAGCUAAUGCAGAAGUUUUAUUCUUAGUUCUGCUACAAAGAUGGGGGAAAAAAUUGUUUAAUUAAAGGAAGGUGAUAAAUUAAAUCCCUUGUAGGAUUUCUGAAUUUCUCUUUUUGAUCGUAAAAUGUCUUUACUAGAGCAACUUGUUACUUCAACAUUCCUACAUAAAAAUAUUCAUAUUUCCUUAGCUAUAUCCAAAUCUUCAAAAUAGUUUUUAAAGUUUUCCUUGCAGAGUGGGAAUACCAAUGAUGCAGCACUCCUCUGGAUUUAGAUUUCAUUCAAAUUCUAAUAGGGUGAAUAUUCCUAGCCAAAAUUCCUUCUAAUCCCAACUCCUAAUCUUGUUUCCAUUGAUCAUCAUGGUGAACUACUUCUUUUUCUCUUUGGGCAGAGUCUCCAUGGUGCAUUGCUACAGUGAUAUUUGCCUUGCUUUAUUUAAUUGCUCUUGCACUAGCUGCAUUUAUGAUAGCUAAGGGUAAGUAUUUUUCAGGUUUUCAUUAACUUGUUAAAAGUUACUAGAAUAGAAUUUUGAAGCAUUUGAAAUUAAUUCUAAGGCUUUACUAAAGUUAUUUUCCUCAUUUGUUAUUUUAGUUGCAUAAAAGUAAUUUUACCAAUUCAGUUUUUGAAUUAUCAACAAUAGCUUUGUCCCAGGUGAGCUUAUCAAAGAUGUUGGUGGAUAGCUGUGUAUUUUGAAAAAAAAUGAAAAAUAAUAGCAAUGUUCUUUAUGUUAUUGUAUUUUUACUGACAUUAGACUUAGCAACUGUGAGAUGUAAGAAAACUUGGAGAUAUUUAUAGAAUUUAUUAUUUGGGCAGUUAAAAACUAACUGUAAGGACAUCAAGUCAGGAAUUUGAAAGAAAUAAUCUAAUAGAAGAAAUAAAAUGAUAAUGGGCAGAGAUUCA